rnacentral:rRNA from 1 species
CUAAAAUUUAGCUUAUCUUAAACUUAUGAACAUAAUAUCCCUCAUCUUUUUAGUAAAACAUUUUAUUAGUCUAGUACAGGCGAUCAAAAAACUUAUUAACGCCAUAUAACAAGUACCGCAAGGGAAAAAAUGAAAUAGCUUUGAAACAGACUCAAAGCACAACACAGCAGAGCUUGUUUCUCGUACCUUUUGCAUCAUGGAUUAGCCAGUCCUGAUCAAGCAAAACGGAAUCCCAGUUUGAUACCCCGAAACUAGACGAGCUACUUUAAAACAGCUUUAUAGAGCCAACCCAUCUCUGUUGCAAAAGAGUGGGAUGAUUUUUAAGUAGAGGUGAAAAGCCUAUCGAGCCUAGAGAUAGCUGGUUACUAGGAAAAAGAAUUUUAGUUCUGCUUCAAAUCCCUCUAUUACAACAAUAAAUACAUUAAAUUUGAAAGUUAUUCAAAUAAGGCACAGCUUAUUUGAAAAAGGAUACAGCCUACAAAAAAGGGUAAAUCCAACCACACAGAGCAAGUAGGCCUAAAAGCAGCCACCUUAAAAAGCGUUAAAGCUUUCUCUCCUCAAAUAUCUUAAUCUAUAAAUAAAUUUUUAUCCCUUCACUGUUACUAAGUAAUUUUAUAAAUUAUAUAAAAGUUUUUAUGCUAAAACUAGUAACAAGAAUUUGAAUUUCUCCUAAAUAUAAGUAUAAACCAAAAUGGACCUACCAUUGGUAUUUAACGUCUAUCAACCUACUAUAACAACACCAUCAAGAAAACACUAUAACUUCCAACGUUAACCUAACACAAGAAUAUCUCAGGAAAGAUAAAAAGAAAAGGAAGGAACUCGGCAAAUUUUAACCCCGCCUGUUUACCAAAAACAUCGCCUUCUGAUCAAUUAUAUAAGGUCCCGCCUGCCCAGUGACUUGCUUAAACGGCCGCGGUAUUCUGACCGUGCAAAGGUAGCAUAAUCAUUUGUCCUCUAAAUAAGGACUUGUAUCAACGGCAUCACGAGGGUUCUACUGUCUCCCUCCUCUAAUCAGUGAAACUGACCUCCCCGUGAAGAGGCGGGGAUUUAAAUACAAGACGAAAAGACCCCAUGGAGCUUAAAACCCAAUAAUAAUCUCUCAUAAACACUCCCUCUAAACCUUAGAGACCUAUCCAUUGGUUUUGGGUUGGGGUGACCACGGAGUAAAAUAAAACCUCCCUGACGAUAAUCUACUAACUUAAAUACAAGAGCCACUGCUCUAAGAAUCAAAAAUUUGACGUAAUAUGAUCCGGCAACCGAUCAACGAACCAAGUUACCCUGGGGAUAACAGCGCAAUCCAUUUCAAGAGCCCUUAUCGACAAAUGGGUUUACGACCUCGAUGUUGGAUCAGGGUGUCCCAGUGGUGCAGCCACUACUAAAGGUUUGUUUGUUCAACAAUUAAAACCCUACGUGAUCUGAGUUCAGACCGGAGAAAUCCAGGUCGGUUUCUAUCUGUAAAGUGUUACCCUUAGUACGAAAGGAUUAGAGUAACGUGGCCAAUACCUACUCAAGCCUCACCCUUCAACUAAUGAAACAAGCUUAACUAGCUAAAUACUACCAACUCAUCUUAGAUCAAGAUAG